AUUGAACGCUGGCGGCAGGCUUAACACAUGCAAGUCGAGCGGGGGAGGUUGCUUCGGUAACUGACCUAGCGGCGGACGGGUGAGUAAUGCUUAGGAAUCUGCCUAUUAGUGGGGGACAACAUUCCGAAAGGAAUGCUAAUACCGCAUACGCCCUACGGGGGAAAGCAGGGGAUCUUCGGACCUUGCGCUAAUAGAUGAGCCUAAGUCGGAUUAGCUAGUUGGUGGGGUAAAGGCCUACCAAGGCGACGAUCUGUAGCGGGUCUGAGAGGAUGAUCCGCCACACUGGGACGGGGACACGGCCCAGACUCCUACGGGAGGCAGCAGUGGGGAAUAUUGGACAAUGGGCGGAAGCCUGAUCCAGCCAUGCCGCGUGUGUGAAGAAGGCCUUUUGGUUGUAAAGCACUUUAAGCGAGGAGGAGGCUCUUAAGGUUAAUACCCUUGAUGAGUGGACGUUACUCGCAGAAUAAGCACCGGCUAACUCUGUGCCAGCAGCCGCCGUAA
rnacentral:rRNA from 1 species